ACCCCAGGGAGUGAGCUUUCCCUCCCUGCCUGUCUUCAGGAGGGGUGGGAAACAGACUUUCAGCUCUCAGACAUGCACUGUGCUCUGUUCUUCCUGACUAUGUCCAGGUUAGCAGCAUGCACAAACACACUCAAGAACUCAGCUCCUGUGGUGACAAGCUAGAUAUGGCUAACAACAGAACAUGUCCUGCUGUGCUAGUAAAUGGCAUAUUUCAUGAUAAACUGGUCUUGAAACACAUGGAGUGCAAGAAUACUGUCACAGCAAUGCACAGUGGCUUCUGGUUUUCCUUCAUUUGGAUUGGACCUCCACCUUGACCACAACAACAGAAGACAGGCAGAAGACAGAGCAGAACAGACAGAUUAACUUCACUUAUUUGAUAACUAGUAUCCACAGAGUCCUCAAAGUAAGGCUUCUCUGGAAUGUCAGAGAUAACGAAAGCCCCACAUAACUAAACAAACAGC